UUGAAAGACCAGUUCCCGUACGAUCAUCGAAGUUAAGCAACGUUGAGCCUGAUCAGUACCUAGAUGGGUGACCGCUUGGGAAUACCAGGUACAGUA